UAUUUAUUAAAUUGUUUUAAUUAAUGCUAUGACUUACUUAUUGAUAUAUAAAGUAAAUUUGGGUUAAUGUAUAUUUUAUGGAUAUAAUUAAUUUUACUAUAGUGAAUUAGUACUGCGAAGGAGUUUUAAAUAAUAGAUGAUAUAAUUAUGAGAAGUUGAUUUAAUUAAUUGUAUCUUGUGUUUCAGAGUAUAUUAAAAUGGAUGAUUUAUUAUUAUUUUCUCGAAUUUAAAAGAUUUAAUUGAGAAUUUUAAUUGUUGUUUUAUAACCAUUAAAAAUUCUUGGUUGGUAAUGAAAUGUUUAUCGUUUUUAAGGAUAUCUAGUUUUUUAAUAAAUGAAUUAAAUUCAGAGGAUAUAAUUUAUAUUAUAAAUAUUAUAUAUAAUUAUUUUAUAUUCUUUAUUUUUAAGGGGAUUAACUCUUGAAAAUAAUAUUAUAAUAGAGGUGUUAUGGUAGGAUUUUAUGAAUUUAGAAUUUGUUAUUAAUUAAAGGAUGUUAAAAUUAAAUUCUUAUUUUAAUUUAGAUUUAUUUAUUUUUAUUUAAUAUAUUUAUUAAAAUGUGAAGAUGAAUUUGAAAUUUUUAAUAAUAAUGAUUUAAUUAGUAAAGUGAACAAUGUAUAGUGUAAUAAUAAUUGAUUAAUUUGGUAAAAGGAAUUAGGCAAAAUAUUUUACUCGCCUGUUUAUUAAAAACAUGGUUUCUUGUUUUGGUUAAGAAAUUUAACCUGCCCCCUGAAAUAUUUUAAAGGGCCGCAGUAUUUUGACUGUGCAAAGGUAGCAUAAUAAUUAGUCUUUUAAUUGAAGGCUGGAAUGAAUGGUUGGACGAGGUAAAAACUGUCUUAUAUAAAUUUAAUUGAAUUUAUAUUUUAAGUAAAAAGACUUAAAUAUUGUUAAGGGACGAGAAGACCCUAUAGAGUUUAAUAUUCAAAUUUUUAAUUAAGUUUAAAAGAAAUUUUUAAUUAUUUAAAAAGCAUAUUUGGUUGGGGUGAUUAAAAGAUAAGAUGAACUUUUUUUUAUUUUGAAUACUUUAUGUAAUUAAGUGAUCCAUUAAUAGUGAUUAUAAGAUUAAAUUACCUUAGGGAUAACAGCAUAAUUUUUCUUGAGAGUUCAUAUCGAAAGGGAAGAUUGUGACCUCGAUGUUGGAUUAAGAUUAUAUUUGGGUGUAGAUGUUCAAAAUUUAAGUCUGUUCGACUUUUAAAAUCUUACAUGAUCUGAGUUUAAACCGGUGUGAGCCAGGUUGGUUUCUAUCUUUAAUAUUAAUUGAAUGAUUUAGUACGAGAGGACCAGUUAUUCAAAAUAAUUUUUGAAAAUUGAAUGUAAUUAAU
rnacentral:rRNA from 1 species